rnacentral:rRNA from 1 species
CUCCCCUCCUGGGCGCAGCCUGAUCCAGCAAUGCCGCGUGAGUGAUGAAGGCCUUAGGGUUGUAAAGCUCUUUUACCCGGGAUGAUAAUGACAGUACCGGGAGAAUAAGCCCCGGCUAACUCCGUGCCAGCAGCCGCGGUAAU